GAGGGCCAGACACUGGUGCUUGAAGACCUAGAAGUGGUUCAGACAGCACUGAACCCAAAGCAUCCAGCCCCCACUGCAGGAGAGAAAAUUGUGCUGGUGUGUUUCAAGGCUGAAAGCAAAGGAAGGAAACCUUACGCCAAGAAAAGAGGGAAUUUAUCUGAAAGAUAUGAAAAUAUGAAGGCUCUUAAUACUUCCUGUGAAGCGCCCUGUGGAGUGGUUGUGGACAUUUCUAUUCUUGAUUAUGCACCUUACCCUACUAAUUUUACUCUGACUUCACAAAAUUAGAGAAUUAUAUUUUUCUCAUUGGC
rnacentral:lncRNA from 1 species